ensembl:snRNA U6 U6 spliceosomal RNA
GCGUUUGCUUUGGAAGCGCCUACAGUAUAAUUGAGACGAAACACAGAAGGCCAGCGUGGCGGCUGCGCAAGUAUGACACGCAAAGGUGUGCAGCAUUUCAUAAUUUU